AUGCACGCUGGCGGCGUGCCUAAUCCAUGCAAGUCGAGCGAACAGACGAGGAGCUUGCUCCUCUGACGUUAGCGGCGGACGGGUGAGUAACACGUGGAUAACCUACCUAUAAGACUGGGAUAACUUCGGGAAACCGGAGCUAAUACCGGAUAAUAUAUUGAACCGCAUGGUUCAAUAGCGAAAGACGGUUUUGCUGUCACUUAUAGAUGGAUCCGCGCCGCAUUAGCUAGUUGGUAAGGUAACGGCUUACCAAGGCAACGAUGCGUAGCCGACCUGAGAGGGUGAUCGGCCACACUGGAACUGAGACACGGUCCAGACUCCUACGGGAGGCAGCAGUAGGGAAUCUUCCGCAAUGGGCGAAAGCCUGACGGAGCAACGCCGCGUGAGUGAUGAAGGUCUUCGGAUCGUAAAACUCUGUUAUUAGGGAAGAACAAAUGUGUAAGUAACUAUGCACGUCUUGACGGUACCUAAUCAGAAAGCCACGGCUAACUACGUG
rnacentral:rRNA from 1 species